CGGGGCGUAGCUCAGCCUGGUAGAGCACCUGCUUUGGGAGCAGGGGGUCGCGUGUUCGAAUCUCGUCGCCCCGACCA
rnacentral:tRNA from 2 species